rnacentral:rRNA from 1 species
UACGGAGGGAGCUAGCGUUGUUCGGAAUUACUGGGCGUAAAGGGCGCGUAGGCGGCCUUCUAAGUCGAACGUGAAAUCCCCGGGCUCAACCCGGGAACUGCGUCCGAUACUGGAAGGCUUGAAUCCGGGAGAGGGAUGUGGAAUUCCAGGUGUAGCGGUGAAAUGCGUAGAUAUCUGGAGGAACACCGGUGGCGAAGGCGACAUCCUGGACCGGUAUUGACGCUGAGGCGCGAAAGCCAGGGGAGCAAACGGG